UAUGCCGCCUUGCUCAGGCCUGUCUUCAGAGUCCAAUGGCCCUCCUCCCUCAGGCUUGCUCCCUAUAGCCUGGAAAUUCUUCUCCCUCCACUGCCAAGGACGCUGCCUGGGCUGGCCCCUUGGGCUGACCCUGGCACUUUUCCCAGGGUGUCUAUCGGUUGGGCAGAAUAAUCCAAGCCGUGGAGCCAUUCAAGGAGUUUGGAAGGAGCGCUACAUUAAGGACAUCCUUUCCUUUCAAGUUUCACGAGGGCAGCAUGUGGAGCAAAAUGAGAAGCAGACAGGGGGCCAGAACUUGGGCUUUGGGGCUGGUCUCUGCCGCCCAGCCUCAGUGCCUGCCCUCACCAAGGCUCAGUUUUUCUCAUUGGUGAAAUAAAAGGGGGGAAUCAUGAUAACUCCCAGAGGUA